UUUCGCCUGAAGUCAAUGAGGAUGAGAACCUCCGAAGGAGGUUUGAGCCGAGCGAAGCGAGACAACGUUGCUUCAGCAACGGCCCGCAGGGCGCCUCUCAGCGAGAAGCGUCAUCCUCUCUCGCCGACCA
rnacentral:sRNA from 1 species